ACACUUUGCCAAGUUGUUGAAUGCUCAGAGAUUUCUGAGUAUUGUGAAUACUCUUGUAUAGGAAGAUCUGAUGA
rfam:Capsella rubella cultivar Monte Gargano unplaced genomic scaffold scaffold_5, whole genome shotgun sequence.